ACACGCUGGACAGGAUACAGUCAGUCUUUACAGCAAUUCCAAUAUUGCAAAUUCCUGAUCUAAUUUUAUAAUGUUAUAAGUCCGCGAAGCAGCUUUUUUAUCUGUAUAUUUAACUAUAUGUAACUAAUGAUGUAAUUGAGCUCAGACACCACAAGGGGGCCUCAUAGCUGCAUUGCUAUAAAACCCUCAGGGAGAGAGAGAAACCAGCCAAUAAGGAGGAAGAGGAUGUUGCUGGUAAGAACCAGUUUGCUUGUGUGGGUGCGAGCAUUAGGUGCUCUAACCCCACACAUCCUGUCUCCUCUCAUUCUAAGAGGCAUCAGCAAAGGAAACUCCAUGCAGUGUCUCCCUGAGUACAGGAUGGACUUUCUGCUUCACAGGACGUGUCCUCUCUGAGGAGCUGACCUCUGGGUAUGAAGAUGUGGAGGACAGUGUGGGAGACCCUUUCUCAGUUAGGAGGCUAAGGUUCAGGGUUGAUGGUGACAGGAGACACAGCAGAGGACUAUGGUGAUGCUGAUGGUACAGCAGAGUCCACGUUUUAUCUGGUGAGAGAGCUUUGACCACACUGCCCCCUGGGGAGGGCCCCCCUGAACCCGACCAGGCUGACUAUGAUGAUGUGGGGGAGGAGGGACUGACAGUCCUGCCUGAGGAAGCUCCUGUCCAAAAGUUCUCAUAAAAGGGGAAAAUCAGCUUCAUACAAAGACUGUCACCAGUUCAGUUUCAUUUUUUUGUAAUUGGCAUUAUACUUUAUUAAAGGCCAUAUUGUUGGAUUAAUAUUCAUGGAGAAUUAAAUAAACAGAUAUUAAAUUCUACUUUUUUAAAUUUGAGUUCAAGGAAACUCAAAAUUGCAGCAAGACUGACCAUAACAAGUUGUUGGAUAGAUUGAUGGCACUCAUCUCUGAACUUUCACUCACACACUAAUCACUCACUCACACACAAAUAUUAGGGGCAAUUCCCCAUGAAUAUUUUAGAUAAUACGUAGGAACUCUAGGAC